GAAGAUGGGCACAGGCUUGGAUGAGAGAAACAAGGAGGGAUUAAACACAAACAUUUCUGCAUCAAAAACCAUUUGGAACGUGCCCAGAUGGGGUGGUAGUGGCUAGCAGUGGCGUAACAGAGCUGUUCAGUGCCUGUGGCAGAUCAGAUCUACGUGUAAAGGGCUGGGGAAGUGCUGUGGCUCUCCCUCCUCUCCAUGUCUCUCUGGAGUAAUCCACCAGAAGUGCACUCUGACCCUGCUCCUGAGCCAUUUUUCCUUGCUCCUCCACCAGAGGUAACCCAGUCUCACAUCAUCGCACCUUACAACAGACGGGGGAGCGGCUCCCACCAGGUCCUGCAGCAGACCAGCCUCUGUCAGCAAGAAAGGAUUUAGCCUGGGGGAUCUGAAGAUUUUAAUUUCCUUUCUUCUCUCUCCGGCUUUACCAAUUUCCUUCCUCUCAUGUCUUGUACAUGCACAGCUUGUAAACAGCGGGGAGAAGAAAAAGGAAGGGUCUCAAAUUAGCCUGACUGCGUGGUAAACUCUGGUCAGGUGGUGGUCUCCACAGGUCUGUGGGAAGGUAAGGUACCAGCCAUGGUAAAGGUGGACUGUGGGAGUCCAGCCUCCAGGAUAUUAGAGAGGGAAGACUGUAAAUUUCAACAGAGAAUUCUUCACUUCCAUAAGGAAAAUAUUCAGCUUAUAUUUCCAAGAAAAUACUGGCAGUCCAGACACGUCUUCACUGUCACGAUGGAUCUAUUACAGAUGUGGGAAAAUGUUCCCCCACCCAAAUCUGGGACUCCCUAAGCCUGCCCACUAUAAAAGUCCUAUUAGAGAAAUCAGAAGAUGACCAUGGACUACCAGUUUCUUAAUAAAUGCUUCCAUUUCUUACAGCAUUUGAAAUGUGAGAUCCUGAGAUAAUGGCUCUAGGGUUGCUCAAGAGCACACGAUGCAGCCUCUCUGAGGAGCUUGCCUCGCUCCCCUCUCUGCUCCCUGACUGGUAAGACAGCUCAUAAACAGCUCCUGGAAUGGAGCUUGCUCACAUUGCCAAAAUUCAAUUUGUGUUUUUGUUCUUCUGAGGCAAAGACGUUGAAUGAUGUAAACCGAAAUGCCAGUCAGUUGGGUAACACCAGUUAAUAUUCUGUAGCUCGGAAAAAAAAGUUCCUGUAGCUGCAUUCCUUCCAGGUGCAGCUCACUUAAGCACUUCAGGUAACCACUGAGGGAGUACUCUGGGGCUUGGAGUCAGCAGCAGUUAAAACAUAAGCACACAGAGGCUAGCUUCCCCUUGGUCCAGAAUGCUCCCUGGUCUCCUGGGGAGUACAGGCAAGUCCAGCAAAUUGGACUGGCAUUUAAAAAAUUUAAAAUAAAAUAAAAUAAAAUAAAAUAAAAUAAAAUAAAAUAAAAUAAAAUAAAAUAAAAUAAAAUUUUAAAACUUAAAAAAUAUAUAAUAAUUUAAAAAAAAAAAAUGGAGAGAAGUGAAGAAUCACAUUUGGAAGGCCUGCUGACGUAGCUCGGAGGUGAAAGUGUUACAAACAGGACUUGAGACUUUUUCUUUUCACCGUAAAGAGUUGUUUGCCAUGCUAGAGUGUAUUCUUUCGCUGCUGAAAAUGAAAGUAUCACUCCUCUGAAUGCCAGAACAUUACAAGCAGUGAGAUGAUAACAGCUGAGACGAGGACCAACACCUAGAGGCUUACAGAGCAAACGUGACACAGGCGAGGGAGCUAAUGGUGCCAGGACACCUGCCCGUGUGUGACCAUCGCUUUCAGUAAGCAGCCUCUGGCCUGGCAGCCGAAGAAAGGUGGAGACUGAUUUGUACCCGGGCACAGCAGACCCUGGGGUUACAGGCUGCCAACAUCUGUAUCAGCAGGAGCAGAGCCAGCCCCAUGCUUCCUUGGACUGAGAGUUGAGGAGAGGAGAGCCAUAACAGAUAGGCUAAGGGGAACCAACACAGGUCGGGUACAUCGGUGGAUCUUACGAGAGGAAAUAGGCUUUUCCUUGGGUCCUCCCCAACAGCUACAAGAAGCCCUACUAUCUGGGUGAAAUGAGUACAACCCAAGCUGGUGUGAAGUACUGUGAAAGGCAUACGUCAGCUUUAACUAGUUGAGGGCUAGCAGGCUGAAACCCUGCCUAUCCAUCCGCAAGUUUCUUCCCAAUUUUCCUGGCACAGCACAUCGGCAAGGGGAGGGCCGUGUUUCUGGCUGGCUGAGCAGAGCGAAAACAACGGAGUUUGACCUGCGGUGUAGAGCUGCUGGCUCCAGUAAGCUCCCUCCCUGCGCUGGGAAUUAGUUUUGAACCCAGAAGAGGCUUGAUAAGAGACACAGAAGUGGCAGAGAAAGUUGAAAUGUGAUUCAAAGGCAAAGGGAAAUAUGCACAGAGCAACUCUUCCAAGUAUGGAGUGCCCUAAAAGACAUGGAUAAGAUGGAAAAUGAAAUUCAGUGAUGAGAAACACAAACCAGGGGCACGGGGAAUGAGAGAAACUGACCUACGUGUGCAGAAUGCUGGGAACUAACCCACUUGCUGCUUGGGAAAAGGACCUUUGAGUCACUGUGGCUAACACACAGAAAAAUGGUUGCACAAGGCUCAGAGAAAGUUGAAAAGCCUCCGAGAAAGAAAAAGAGAGUGAAACAGAAGACGUCAUUGUUUCACUGGGUAAAUUUAUCAUCCACCUACACUGCAGUUACUGCAGGCAGUUCUGCUGCCCUACCUCAGACAGGGCUGGUCGAGUGAGAGAGGUCGGGGAAAGCAGCAGGAUGCUCAGAGGUAUGGAAUGUGAGGGGAAACUAGAGAGGCUGCAAUUUUUUAGCCUGUAAAAGAGAUAAUUGUGAGGAGAUGUGGUAGCUAUAAAACCAAGUCAACAGGGGAGAAAGAUGGAUAGGAAGCACUUACUCAUUGUGUCAGAAAAACUAGAAUGAUCAGACCUCAGGUUUAAAUCAAUACACACAGAGCACAAUUAUGCUGUAGAUUUCAUUCCCACGGGAUGCUGUGGCAGCCAAAAAAGUAAAUUAAGUCAUAAGAAAACACUAAACAAUCUACAGGGAAUAGCUUAAUCAAGACCUACGGAUGCAACCGCCCAGAUGCUAUCUCCUGAUUCGGAAAUCCCCUACCUGCUGAUGGCUGGAAGCUGGAAGGGUGUACCAGAGAAGGCAUCACUUCAUCCAUGGUACUGCUGCCCUGUCAGAAGUAGGAUGCUGGGUCAGACUGACUGGUACGGGUGUUCAUACUGUCCAGGUCUGCACCCGGGAGGUGAUAUGGGCAACACUCCACAAUGCAACCAGACAGUGAACAUUAUUUAUAAGAGCCAAGUUUUCCGGAGAACCAGCAGGCCUUAACAUUGCAUUAAGUUGACCAGAAGUGUCAGUAACAAUAAAAUUAAAUUCAGAAGCACAGGUCAUGUUUUUUCAAGUCUCUAGAAAUAAUAGUAACCUCAUUCAAUCAACAGAAGAGUGAUUCAUUGGAUACCUGUUUUCCUUGCCAGGUUCUUUUUUUCCUUUGGGAGUGCAGAACAAAUAUUAGAAACCAAUCAUCAGGGUCCUUAAUUUACACGCACAUUACAACAACAUUAUUUAUAAAAUAGAAAAGUUACUACUCCACUCAGAGUGGGAAUGUGAAGCUUUUUAAAGCCAGUGACCCUUUACAGUUCAAGAACAAAAUCACCCCCUGGAGACUGUCUGUUAGGUGGCCCUGACAGCACCGUACUGCAAGAAGAGCUCCUCAGCAACAGAGACUGAGGCACCUUGUGAAACAGAGUGAAAAUCUUUUGUCUCUAUGUAUCUAAGCACUUCCUAUUUCCAUUGCAAGACAGAUGAACUUUUGAUAAAUAAUGGCCUAUUUGGGUUCUGCAACCCCCUUGAGAGCCACAGAGUGUGGGUAUCUCUCCAGACUUUGUUCCAGAGCCCCUGUAUAGCAGUGACUGUCAGUACCUGAGAGGGCCAGGAUAGUUUCUAAGGCCAUGAAACAGUUAAGCACAUAUAGGCAUUUGUAUGUGCUAGCAUACAUAUAUCAAUAAAUAAUAAAUAUUAAUAAUAAAUAUAAAUGAUACUUACAUAGAUAUAUAAGGAUACAUGCACACACAAUCAUGUAUUCAAUAUAUUCAAACAGUUCCAAUUUUUUAUAGCAGAAAUUGUGUAACUAGAACUGUGUAACAGUAUUCAAAAUUAUUCUCUUUCAGUGAUUCUUCAGCUUUUCUAGCAUUUUUAUUAAGCAGCUUUUAAAGAGUCCUCUUUGAACUCCUGUCAAAUGUUUUGCAUUUGUCUAAGAUGGUUUGUUUCAGUAAAUUGACACAUCUGUGGGUAGUUUCAGUAAAUCUGACUAUAAUGUUGUAGAAGCUUCUGUGAAAAAAUAAAACUGUUGGUAACUUUUCACUUUGGAGAAAAGAGUAAGAGAGAUUUUCUCCUGGAAAAGACUUCUCAGAUACACAUUUUUGACUAGCUUUAAUAAAAGGUCAAAGAAAUGAAAACAUUCCGGUUUCUUGGUUCUUGCCAGCUCCUGCUGCUGCUAUUUGUUUUUAGUUUUUUUUCCUUUACUUUUAUUAUUACUGAGCAUUUAUUAGUACUGUAGUGGUGCCCAGAGCCCCCGCAACCAUCCUGCCUGCACUUUGCAGCAUGAUUUACAAAGAGAUGAGCUGACAGCGGUUCUCCCGCAGAGACCUGACACUCUCAGCACACAGCCAGCCCACGUGGAGCCAGGAAGAGCGAUACAACAAAAACAGAUUCAAGCUUUGGUGGGCCUUGUGAGCAAGACGUGCAUCUCAGUAUGUCCCAGAGAAGACUCUGAACAACUGCAGCCAAAGAUAGUUUGGGAGAUUCAUAUCUACCUGCCAGAGAUACAGGUAUAUCCAUGCUGCAUAUGAUCACAGAGCAGUUGGGGCUGGAAAGGACCUUAAAGACCAUCCAGCUCCAACCCCCCUGCCAUGGGCAGGGACACCUCCCACCAGACCAGGUUGCCCAAAGCCCCAUCCAGCCCGGCCUUGAACACCUCCUGGGUUGAGGCAUCCACAACUUCUCUUGGUUGGGUAUAAUGCCAGAGACCAGUCCCCGAGCACUGCUGGGAAGAGCUGCUGACUGCAAAGCUCCCAAGGAUGGGUACAUCAGCAAGAGCAUGUUUGUCUUGGUGGGGAACCACAAAGGGAAGGGCACACCAGUGCUUAUAAAGUGCUGACUUCACCCCAGGCAGGAAAAUUUGGGAGUUACCUGUGCCACCGAGCCCCAAGGGGAAGUUGGUAAUUUUUAGCACCUUUCUCAGAGGAGGAAAUCAAGGGCUGAGGAAAAUGAGGCUGGUAAGGCACUGGGGUGAGACAAGGAUGUGGGGAUGCAGCAGCAGGGCAGCACUAUAAAUGAAAAUAAUUCCCUUGAGGCUACUGGACUCAGUUUGACUUUCCUGAGGUGAGGACAGUGAGGGGAUGAAAGAAGACGAUGAUGGUGAUGCAAGAGAGAACUCUGGAGCAUAAUUCAUCCCUACAUCUGCUGGACAGUGUCUGACUCGGGCAGGGGCACGCGGCUGGGGAUGCAAACAGCCAGAAAAUAACUCCCUGCCUGCCUCGGCUGAAGGGAAGGAAGUGAAUUAUUAACUGCAGCUUUAUGUCAACAAUGGCAUAACGUUAAUCCUGCGCCGAGCUAAACUGAUAAUAACUAAUAAGAACUGUUUAUGGCUUAUUCAGUGGAAAUUAAGGGAACAAUGAGUAAAAUAUAAUCAGAUACGCAAUAAACAUUAAUUAACAAGUUAGAGACACUGAGACAAUCACUGGCAAACAAGAUUGUAAAUGUUUAAAUAAUGUAGCAGUUGCAGAGCAGAUGUAUAUUAAAUUAAAUGGACAGUCUCACUGACAGAGAAGAUAUGUUUAACAGGUAGUAAAAUCAGCACACAAAAAUGUAUUGUGCUGUGCACGGUACAUUGGAUAGCACAGGCACAAUGAGAGUAGUAUUUCAGUGCACUAUAUCAGGCGUUCUGUUUAAAAGGUGGCCAUUAUUUCUGCCUCUUUAUGAGAAAAAUGUAAAAUAAAACAUCCAUAGGCAAGCCAUUAGAGAAACCAUGCCUGCAGAAUUUACCCAGGCAAGUCUGAAAGAGCAUGAAAAGUUAUCAAUCAUUUUGAGGCAAUAACCUGGAGAUACCUGCCCUGGGAAUGUAGUAAAUACAGUAUCUGCAGCAACCCCUAAUGCUAUGUUGAGGAUGAAAUCCAGGUAAGCUCAGCAAUUUAUAGUAAAGAAGGGUGAAAUGGCAUGUUAAACAUAUAAUUUGCUUAUAGUAUUCAUAUUAGCAACCUCAUACAGAGAAAAACACAGUUUGUUGGAAUACAAUUUGCUAUGGUAUGCUUCAUUUCAUUAUUGGGAAUUGUGCUGUAACUCAGAUCAUGCCAAUAAAGAAAGAAAGACUCUGCCUGAA